rnacentral:tRNA from 1 species
GACCGCGUAGCUCAGUUAGAAGAGCAUUGGGCUAGUAUUCCAAAGGUCGUAGGUUCGAGUCCCGCCGUGGCCA